CUGAAUACAUAGGGUAAGAAAGACAGAACGAAAGAAAAAAAACAUAUAAGUACCUGGAGGAAACGAAAGCUAAUACAAUUUACAGGGAAACGGCGAGCGAAACAAAACGUAGACCAAACCAAGAGGGUUGCCUCAUGGGGUUGUAGGACAUUCAAUACGGAGUUACAAAGAAACGAGGUGAACGAAGCAAUCAGGAAAGGUCCGUCAUAGAGGGUAACAAC
rnacentral:rRNA from 1 species